AAACAAGACUGGUCACACAAUGAGGAUGGCAAUAUCUUAUUCAGAAAUAACAAACCGAGAACAACUUGAUAUAUAUAGACUAAACCUUGAUCUACUAGUUCUUUUUUCCUACAAUCUGUUUCUGUAAAAAACAUUAAUCUUAGCAACUUCCAGUCCCUGAGGACAGCUACUGCCAUUCCUGUAACAUCAUCUGUAGGAAAUAACCAUCAGCAAUACUGUCCAUCUGCAACAGAGACACACUUGGUCCUACCUAGUCAAGGACACAGAGAGAAGAUGCAUUUGUUUAAUAAAGGACAAGGCUACAACACGCUGUAGUUACUUGAACGGAAGAACUGAUCUAAAAGGGAACAGAGCCCUUGAAGAACUUACAAGAGAACUUACUGUCUGUGGCAGAAAUCAACAUGGAAAAUCUGUUAAAAAAAAAAAAAAAAAAAGUAUAUCAGUUAUCAAAGGGGAGAGAAAUCCAUGAAGGGUUCAUUAGUAUCUGGAUUUUUGACCACUGCAAACAAUGAACAAACAUAAGUUCAAAGGCACUACCUUUACAGGGAUAGCAACAUUCUCAUUUCUGAGAUAAGCAAACCUGAUAGUCAUCUUAAAGUGGGCAAUUAUGAAUAUACUUCCAACAGUUUGAAAAAUUGGUACUAUAUUCUUGAGAUGUUUCAGUAUGAUCGGUCUUUCCUGAGCAGGUUUCAACUGAAGACACAUUGUGAACACUUUUAAUGACUCCAGGAUUACAGAUUCAAAUCCCAAAAGGAAAGACAAAAAGAAGAGAGGGGAAAAAAUAAAUUAAUAAAGAGAGAAAGAAUAAGAAAAGAA
rnacentral:lncRNA from 1 species